GUGGAACACAACAAUAGACAUGGGGUCCACUCGCCGACACUCCUGCGUAGACUUGGCCGCCACACCAAAACCCUGCAGAUUAAGACAAACAGCCAGCCUAUAAGUGCCUUUUGUCAUAUAACCUUGAGUUAAUCAGCAUGAGUGUUACCAGCAGGAAUAUGUAUCUUUGUUGUACUGUGAAUACUGUCCAUAACAGUGUGACAAGAAGAGCAACCUUUAAAGGACUUACCAGAGGCACAUCUGCCAUGGAGUAAACCACAACUCCCUGAUACUGCAUAGUGUUCUCAGUAAUUCUGCCAAGACCAGAUUUUAGCACGUGGUUCCCAUACAGGAAAGACUGCUCUGUUCCAGGUUUCACCCACACCUUAAA